GCCGCUCUCCUGCCAGAUCCACUGACUUUUAGAAAUCCCAACUCCAGGCCCAAGGAUGUAGCUUGGUGUUAGAACGCUUGCCUACCGUGCUGCAGACCCCGACUUUCUCCCUUCCUGACAGCAGGGGAGAAAAAAAGAAUCAGUUUCUUUUCAUUUAUGUGUGCCUACCACAGAGCAAGUUUAACUUCUCUGAGCUUUCUUCCAGAAUGAAAGGACACAUGCUCCAGAGUUGUAACAGUUACCUGUGAAAUUGCUGACUCGGUGCCUAGCAUAUGUGCUGGCAUUACACCUGGCUUGGGGCUUUAUUAGUCACCUCAGCUCUCAACACUGAAGACUUUGGAUAGUCCUAGAUACAGUUUUAAGUGAUUUGUCAGUUUUUUCUGUGUUUGUACGAUAUUGCUAAAAUAUUUUGUUGUAAUGAUUUAUAUACUGGUCUCUUUAAUAGUAACAACUAAAUUUAUGAUGUGAUCAGUAUUACCACACACUUUUUGUAUAUUCAUUUAGUUCUCACAGUGGCCUAUGUCUUAGAGACUGUUAUCUCAAGGUGUAGUCGAGGAAACUGAGGCACAGAAAAGAUAACACUCCUGGUUAAACAAGAAGCAGAAACAGGGUCCCACACUGUUACCUAAGUUGCCAUCUAAUAAUCUCCUAGUCAUUCUUCCACAUUCAUUAAAAAAAAAUACAACUUGGUAAAACUGAGUUCAACCAGCUACUAAACUUGCAUCUUAACUCACACCAUCAUGGGCAACUUCAGUAGCUGUGUGGAUGACUCUGGCAUCAUUGAUAAUCAAUGACUAUAAUGUGCAUCCUCCGCCAUGGAUCUUUUCACCUGGGCAAAACAGACUAAGAUAGCAGACAUCCUGCUUGCCAUCUGAAAUGAGCCCCACAUCACCUAGACAUGGUUGCCAGGUCCUCAUAAGAGACUCAGUAGACUUACUAAGAGCCUGAUUCUUGUACUGACAGUUCAGUCAAAGCCACUGCUGUAUGAAAUGUCCCCACAAGUCUCCCCCCACCCCCGC
rnacentral:lncRNA from 1 species